rnacentral:lncRNA from 1 species
GAGACCCCGUGACCACCAUUGAGCCUACCCCUCCACAGCGGAGAAAAUUAGACGUUAUGCUCUCCAGAGUGACUUGGAGAAGAGGAAAAGGAAGGUGGCGACCACACCCAGUUAGCAAAGGAGCACUGUCACUUCAGCUGCGCCCGAGUUCUGGCUUCUGAAAGCUGCCUUGAUCCGUGCUCCUGAAAGCUCCUACCCUCCCAAGGGACCAGGAUGCGGCAUCCCCCCCCCCCAAACACACACAGUGUCUUCUAGCGCCUCCUGAGUGUGCCUCUGAGAUGUUUUGAGAUAAAGCAAAGAUCCUUCCCCUGUCUGUCCAAGAAUGGUAUCCAGAGAAGUGUGCAGAGCUAGUGCUCAUGUCAGCAGGGAUCCAAAGCAGAGGUGACCACGAUCUGGAGGUAGGGACAGCAGGAAAGUAACAAGGUCUUCCCCAUGCUACCUAACAGGCAUGACUCACCUGUUCUCUAGGACUACCUGUAACUUUAGAGAAUGUUUUCUUUAGGAAAACUUGGGGAGAUUUGUGGCAUGCAUUUCCAGCAACAGGGUAGGGUCCGUCCCAGGGAACAGAGCCUCCCUUUCCAACAGGGUCAUCUGGGUCUGGAAACUGGAUGAGAAGAUGUGACUUUCCCUGGGGGAGCUCAAGUCAGGUGCUGGGCUCCCAGACUAGAGCGUUUAGGGUUAUACACAUAAAGCAGGGCUGUAGCAGGCUGCCCAACUAUUGCCUUCCUAGAGGCACUGCAGUCUUUUCAGACUGCUCUAAUGGCUUUCUCAAUGUCUCGAUGAAAAAGCUGCUUCUGGACCUAUCCGUGGAAUAUAGUUAGGACGUGGGGUGUUCAGGUCUAAUACGCUGAAUCUACUCCAAAAUUCCUCUCUCCCUAAGCUUUUGGAUUCUGUACUCCAUCUCCUGCCAGAUCAGUUCUGGAACAAGAAUCAUGAAAUGCAGAGGUCAUCAGUAGGUCCACCUUGCAGUCACCAACCCUGUGAUACGCUAGAUUGCUUUUCUCUGGCCAAUCGCCACCCCCACUAUGAGGAAGUUCCUGGGCCAGGGAUCAAACCUCUGCCACAAACAGCCACCCAAGCUGCUUCACACAGCACCAGAUUCUUAGCCUGCUGUGCCACAAGAGGACUCGAUGAUAAUACUUUCAAUCUGAAACCUUGAGUAAGUACAUUUCUGUCCUUUAAUCCAUGCCAGUGAGUGGCAUAGCUCACCUACUGAGUUGACCACCCUGAGGCUCCACUACCAUAAAUGUUCAAGGAGGAUUUGUUGGUAGAUAUCAAUGAAGCCUGGAAAAUAUUUCUUGAUGUAUGAGCUAUUUUCUCCAGGGUCGGACUUUGUAAAUGCACCCAUGGAUCCUGCUGGGAAUGGAGUCCAGUUAGGGGUCUAAUGGCAACACGGCGUGGCUGCAGAGGGUCUGGAGGACAACAAGUGGCCCCUCGCAGGUAUUCCGCACAGGGGAGCUAAGGACACGGUCCUUAAGGGAGAGAACACCAGCCCGCCACGCCACACGUGGGAGGGCAGGCUGCUUCCACCAGCAAGGCAGGCUCGGGGGGACCGGGGGCUUCCCGAUGGCCAGCGUUAGCUGAGGCCAACCAGGCAGUCCCGGAGCCACGUUUCAGGGUCCCACGCCUCCAGCCGCUGCCGACCCCUGUUCACAUAAGAAAGGCGGAGAGGCUGAGAACUCAGCUGACUCUGGCAUUCUGCAAGCCGCGCGAGGACAGUGCUUGAUUUGCAGCACCGUCAGCCCUGCAGCUCCAGGACACGAGGGAGUUUUCAGGGCUGCCCUGCAAGUUCUCUGGCUGUCACCCAGUGACUUGAGCUGAGAGGCGACAGCCCUGACCUUGUCGUUUUUUCUCUGCGCCCAUGCCCAGGUGCCCUCAGGACUCGUCCCCUACCGCGGGCUUUAGCACCAUCGUUGCCUCCGUGACAGUUCAGGGCGGCAGCCACUCCCGCUCCCCAGGCGCGAGCUGCGGUGGGCCCGUCAUCCCAGUCGACCGCGGGUGAGAGCGGGACGAAUUGUGAGGCCCCUGCAGGCCAUGGGUGCCUCGAGCCCCGUUGGUCACUCGGGGGUCAGACAGCUAAGGGACAGAGAGAGUACAGGAAGAAGCAGCCACCCCUGGAGCCAGGGGGAGAAGGGAAGGGGCGCGUGUCCUCGGAAGCCUCGCAGCCAGGAUGAGGGGAGUUGAAGAGCAGAGCCCAGCCUCUCUGAGGACGGGCGGCUGCCCUUUCGCAGGGAAGGAGGAAGCGCCAUCCUCGGCUAAGAGGAAAUGGCCACGGCUCCGUCUUCCAGGGCAGGGCGCUGGUUCCUUCUUCAGUGAUACCUCUUUGUGUUUGGAUUCAUCUGUUGGGCUCUUGACUUCAAUGCCCUUGGUGCUGGGGGUCUUUCUCUUUUCCCUGUUAGGGCUGCCCUUGCGGUACCUGGAAGGUGCCAGGCUAGGGCUCAGAUCACAGCCGCACCUGCCGGCCUAUGCCUCAGCAAUGCAGGAUCCAAGCCACACCUGCCACCUCCCCUGCAGCUUGGGGCAACGCUGGGACCCUAACAGACGGAUCGAGGCCAGGGAUGGGACUCGCAUCCUCCUGGAUACUGUGUCGAGUUCUUAACCCGCUGAGCCACAGCGGGAACUCCCGCCCUCCCCCCCCUUUUCUUUUUACCGCUAAAGUGCCUUUUCCUUUUGAUUUUCUUCUUCUUUUUAUAGCCACACCCCUGGCAUGUGGAAGUUCCCAAGCCAGGGCUCGAACCUGAGCCACAGCGGUGACAACUCCGGAUCCUUAGCCUACUGUGCCACCAGGGAACUCCUAAAGUUCUUUUUCUUUUUCAAAUCUGCCUGGGCUUUUUUUUAAGUAGGCUUCUCUUUUUGAUCCCUUCUCUUAUAUAUUGAUUUGCAUGUGUCUUGGGGGCUGCUGAAGAUUUGGGGCGUUGGGGUAGCUGUCUGUCACACAGUAAUGCAAAGGCGUUGUAAGUAUCCACGAGAACUGCUUUUUGUUUGUUCAUUUGUUUGUUUUUUAGAGCCUGGGGUGUGGCAUAUGGAGUUCCCAGACUAGGGGUUGAAUCGGAGCUACAGCUGCCAGCCUAGGCCACAGCUAUAGCAACCCGGGAUCCGAACGGUGUCUGCAGCCUACACGACAGUUCACGGCAAGGCCGCGUCCCUGACCCACUGAGCGAGGCCAGGGAUCAAACCCGCGUCCUCAUGGAUACCCAUUGGAUUUGUUUCUGCUACGCCAUGAGAACUGCUUUCUGAUUCAAAAAUAAUGACUUUCGGGAGUUCCCGUCGUGGCGCAGUGGUUAACGAAUCCGACUAGGAACCAUGAGGUUGCGGGUUCGGUCCCUGCCCUUGCUCAGUGGGUUAACGAUCCGGCGUUGCCGUGAGCUGUGGUGUAGGUUGCAGGCGCGGCUCGGAUCCCGCGUUGCCUGUGGCUCUGGCGUAGGCCGGUGGCUACAGCUCCGAUUCGACCCCUAGCCUGGGAACCUCCAUAUGCCGCGGGAGCGGCCCAAGAAAUAGCAACAACAACAACAACAACAACAACAAAAAGACAAAAAAAAAAUAAUAAUGACUUUCCACCUAAGAUACAUAGCCAGGGAGUUCCCAUUGGGGUGGCUCAGCAGAAAGGAAUCCCACUAGUAUCGCUGAGGAGGUGGGUUCGAUCCCUGGCCUCCCUCAGGGGGUUAAGGCUCAGGUGUUGCCGAAGUCGCAGACGCGGCUUGGACCUGGCGUGGGUGUGGCUGUGGUGUAGGGUGGCAGCUACACCUCUGAUUCGACCCCUAGCCCGGGUACUUCCAUAUGCCGAGGGUGCGGCCCUAAAAAAUAAAAAAAAAAAAAAGUUGUAUAACCCAGAAAUCAAUUGAGAUUUUAAUAAACUUGG